ACGCAGGGGAGCUGUUUUUUACGGCUGAGAGGAAGCUUUAAGCUUCGACCCUUUAACCUGAUGUGGAUAAUGCCAACGUAGGGAAAAGUUAA
rnacentral:ncRNA from 1 species